rnacentral:lncRNA from 10 species
CAAAAUAUUAAACCUGGACCUGAUCAAGCAUCUGGACUGGCUUAUGGAUAUAGAGAAAAUGUAGGGGAUAGAUGAGCACGGGAAAUGUCUCCGUGGGGCAAAAUUCACGAAAUUCAGAUUGUUGGACACUCUCCAGGACAAAAGGUCUAGAUUCUUCAAAAACAACAACAUCGAAAAAAAAAAACUGCCAGAAAGAAAAAAUACAGAGGGAGAAGGACACAGAACACAUUUAUGAGUCUUUUCACCCUCAUUUCGUUGAAGAUUUUAUUGGCCGAAGAACCCUCAGUAGGCACGAAAUUCAUUCUCACAAGCAGAGAGAUGCAUUAUGCUCCAUUUAUUGCUCAUCCUAAAUUAUAAACAUUUCCAGUGAAUGUAAAGGAAGAUAUGAUUGAAAAGGACUCUGUGAAGACAGGAUGUUUCUGUACAGUCCUUGUAUCUGCUCACCUAUUCCAAACUUUCCAGAGAUUUUACCAGAGGUUUAAGAUAUUCUCCUGAGGGUUUGCUGUAGAGAGAUUUUUCUUAACUAAGGAGUGCAAGUAGCAAGCAAUAGCCCACCCAGUUGGAGACAAAAAAGAAGGGUGUCAGUGUUCCCACUGUUAAAAAACAAAAAAAAAUCACCCUGGACACCUCUGAGAAUUAUACAAGGGGAUGUACACAGCCCUGCUUUAUUUGAGUUCAAAAGGAAGGUGGGUUUUGAAAGAAGAACAAGGAGAGUAGAUCUCUCUGGAUCUUCUGAUGCUCACAGCAAAGAGCUCAAGGUAUCUGAGUCAACUCUUGAGGCUUCUUCGAACAGAGGGAUGAAGAGAGAAUAUGGCAAGCUUGCCAACAGAUCCCAGAAGUUUUAAGAGAAAAGAACAGAUUGCUCUUUGCAAAACAAACCGAGCUGGGUGCAUGGAGCCCCAGUAGACAGAAAGUGAAGAAAACAUCAACGUUCUGAAGUUUUAGAUAGGUGCACCAUCCCUUAUGGAUACCAAUCUGUGCUCCCCAUAAACUUCUGUGCCCAGGGUCAACUGGCCAGGGACAACUGGCUCACCAGGAGGCCUACAUAGCCUCUUCUUCAGGCCCUAAUUACAGCUCUAUGCAAUAGGGACUCUGCCAUCUGACAGCCAAGGAGGUGGUUCGGUUUCUGCACAUGGUUUUUUCCGCUGGGUCCCUUGAGGUCCAUGGUAACCUCUUCCUCAUUCUCUACAGGCAGAUCACACUUUGUAAUAAGAUCAGAGGCAGAGAACUUUGACCAGAUCACACUUUAUAAUAAGAUCAGAGGCAAAGAACUCUGACCAGAUCACACUUUAUAAUAAGAUCAGAGGCAGAGAACUUUGACAACUAUCUCCUUGCCCUCUGGCCCUGGGGUCAGGGCUACUCAAACAACACCUGCUGUCCCAAACCCGGAGAAGUGUAGAUUUUGGCACUGGUAGAGGAAUAACAGCUAUUGUUGACACUUAAUCUUGUGGGCCUGGAAUUUCAACUAUGUUUUCACAACUCGGAGCCUAUUGCUGCCACCUCUGUCAGGGAAGAUAAAUGGGCAUGAAUAAUAGACAGAUGAGUUUCCCAAAAGCCCAGACAGGCUGCAGGGAACACGUAAUGAGCAGACAGUGUGGUUCACGCCGGGGAGCCCAGGUUUAUCCAGGCCUCAUCCUCACUCCCUUUCUCUACUGAUAAUUGGACCCAACAGGACCAUUCCGAAUCAUUUUUCUCUCUUCAGUUAUUCUUCAGUUCUACUCAAAGGGUCAGUUUAGGGCAUAAUUAAAGUCAAUUACUUUCUGAAAGGCCAUCAGGACAACUGUUAGAGAAAAUGAUAGCAGCCCCGCACUUGCUGUAGGAAUUAUUAGCUUGUCAGCCUCCAGGCUUAUGGAGACAAAGGAUCAAAAAGUUAGAGAGAUCCAGGUGUUCACCUAUUUGUUCACUAAUUCUUUUAUUGUGAGUGUGCAUGUGUGUGGGUGGGUGUGACAUUUAUUAUGAACCAGAGGGCAGGAGCCAGUGACACAGUGGUGCAGAGAAUAAUCAUAUUCCCUGCCUUCCUGGGGUCAUACAGCUUGGUGGAGGACACAGAUGUGAAUUCGGUAAUCACUCCAAUAAAUAUUCUCCUACAGAUGAAGAAAGAUGAUACGAUGUGAUGGACAACAGAGACUUAUAUGGUGGGGUCUGGGCUGGUCUUUCUGAAGCUAAGACUGGCAGGAUGAGCAGGAGUUUGCCAGACAAAGAGGAGUGGAGUUGUUUUCCAAACACAUCUCAGCACAAAGUGUUGUCUUUGCUGGGAGCUGAAAAAAGAUAGUGUGGGCAGAGACCAUUAGGUGAGACGCUUGAUAUGAGAUACAACCUCAACAGGUGGAAGAAGAUCAUGAGAGAUGAAGAGAGGAAUAUAGUACAGCAGAGAGGACACAGAAGCUGACGUCAGGGUGUCUCAGUUUGAAACCAGUGGCCACCCUGUUCCUCUCCCAUGUGGUCCCAUCAUGGGCCUCUAGGGUCUGGGAUAAGAGGUUAAUGAAUAUCUCAUACCCUAAGCAGGGGUGGUCCCUGCACUUUAGCAAAAAGUUAAGGAACUAGGGAAAAGAGAUGGAAAUAAUAAAGAGAUGGGACAAAGACUUUGAAGACCAAAGCCCCUGGGCUAUUCUCUUUUUUAAAUUUUUUUAUUUAAAUUUUCAUUUAUUUUUAUCAAGAUAGGGUCUCACUAUGUUGCCCAGGUUGGUCUCAAACUUUUGGCCUAAAGCAAUCCUCCCACCUUGGCCUCCCAAUGUGCUGGGAUUACAAUGUGAGCCACCACGUCCAGCCUCCUGGGAUAUUUCUCAAUGAAACAUUGGAUGCCAAGAUUGGUUUUGUGCCACAUGCCAAUUUCACAGAAGCCAGUCUAUGAGCCACCAGCUCUACUCAGCAAUUACAGUUUCUGGAACUUUGGCUAAAUUCCUGUAGAUGCACCACUGCUUGUGGCCUGACUCUUUGCCACCCAAGUGCGCUCAGCCUCCCCUGGGGAGUCUGCCAGGCUUGCAUGGCUCCCACUGCACUUGCUGUGCUGGGACCGAAAACAGUUUUUGUGCCCCUAGCUUAACUCCACUGGAUUCAUAGAGGCUUUGGCCUCCUCAAUGGCUGUCCUGGGACAGGGAGGCUGGUUAGCACAAUUAACACAACCUGGUCAUGCAAGGCAUUGAUGGUCCGUAACAUGAACUUUGACCAGUAGGAGACAGAGAAUGGAAAAAAGCCAGCAGAUAAAUCAUCUGGCCUUCCUCCCCUAUGACAGACUGUUCUGAGCCACAGUGUUUCACAUGUCUUCCUGGAGAUGUCCCACAUGACUUGAGCAACCAGCUGGAGCUCUGGAGAAACUGUGGCCAUCCUGAGGAAGAAACAGGCCCAGAGAAGUUGGGUAACUCAUCAAAGGUCACAGAGCUAAGAGUGGCAGAGUCAGGCCUGGAGCCCAGGAAGUCUGGUUUCGAAUUUCAUGCUUCUAACCUGAGCACUGUACUGCUUGGUGGAGUUCUCUGCUAGUCCUACCUUUCAGGCAGAGGUGAUGCAGCAAGAAAGCUGCCACCAGAUGCAGCCCCUUGAUCUCGGACUGCCCAGCCUCUAGAACUAUAUGAUUUCCACGGACUUUACUCACAGGGGCUUCAGUAGAAGAGGAAGAGGCUUGGGUUUAAUUGAAGGUGGCCUGAGACAUCUGUGAGGAACAGCCCUUUUAGAGACAUAUCCCCUACAAAUAAAGCAUCAGAAUUAUUAUCCUAAUACAUGAACAUCCAUGGUUCCUUCAGCACCAUCGUAAUGCAGAGACCAUGGGGAGAUGCAGGGAGAGGGCUCUGCACAGCAUGGCCAACUUGCCGGGUUGAAAACAGACAACCUCCAUGGAGCAGGGACUUCAAUUAGUUAAUUCCCCAUCCCCACUGUCACUUACUAACAUGGGAUUCUGAUUAAAAAUUAGAUUCUCUGCAAGAGGCUUAACUUAUAAUUUAAGAACUUUUGCUGUAUAACCAUUGCAAAAACAAUUACAUAAAGAUUAAUUAGCAAAUUCCCAAAACAGUAGUAAACGGCAAAGUAGUUUAAUUAAAACCAUUAUCUCCAAAAUCUGAACGUUAAUAACAGUUGUAGCUCAGGGAGAAAUAAGAGGCACACUGGCACAGAGUGGGGUAAAGGGAGGGUGUCCUUCGACACCAGCAUUCAGUCAGCCCAAGUCUCCACGGCUGCUGUCCUGUUAAUUACACUCCAGAACUCUGUGGCCACCGCGUCUUGAGAGGCCCUGGGCUCCUCCUAUGAGCCUCUGCAGCUGUAGCCUUGACGAACUUGUCAUUGCUGGCCUGCCUCCAACAAGAGGCCUUUAGCCCUCAGAAGAGAGGGAGGCAGCAGGGGGCACGAACAAGACUUUUAAGUGGGGAAUUCAUAAAAUUUGGAAUUGUCAGAAAACAUCUGUAACCAUGACUCUUGUCCUUCAGAAGACACUGAUAAAUUUAACCCAACCCAGACCCCUUAACACAAACUCUGAAGUAAAAGAUUGGCAAAGGAAGCCCAUGAGAAUGAAAUGUAACAAUAGCAACUAUGUAGUUAGCACACACACCAUAUGAUCUCACACAUUCACAAGAUCCUCAUGAAGCCACAUGGCCUUCAUUCUGUUAUUAUUUACUUAUUUAUUUAUGAGACAGGGUCCCACUCUGUUGCCCCAGUUGGAGUCAGUGGCACAAGGCAGUGUGCAGUGCUCAGUGCAGCCUCUAACUCCUGGCUCAAGUGAUCCUCCUACCCCAGAGUCCUGAGGGGCUGGGACUACAAGCACAUGCCACUAAGCUCAGCUAAUUUUUUUUCUUUUUUAAUUUUUUGUAGAGAUAGGGUCUGACUACAUUGCCCAGGCUGGUCUCAAACUCCUAGCCUCAAAUGAUCUUCCUGCCUCAGCCUCUCAAAGUGCUGGGAUUACAUGCGUGAGCCACUGCAUGCUGCCAUAUUAUUUUUAUUCUUAAGCUAAAGUCACUCACUUAGCCUCGUGCAUGGGGACCCUUCUCUUUUUAACUCUAAAGCCCAUUUGUUUACCUGGAUACCACACAGAUGCCCUUUGUGGUGCAACAUUUAGCCCAUUGAAGGCUAAUUAUGUGAGUCUCACAAUUGUGUGAGUCUGUCAUGAAGUAUAGCCUAGACUUGACAAUGAUUGAUUUCUCCAAAGAACCCCUUCAGCAGGGAGAUCCCAAAUCAGAGAGCCCUUGCCCUUACCCAGGACAGCCAAUGUCUCUGCAGCUCCACACGGAGCACCAGCUACCGUGGAGGGGUUGACCUGGGCCUGGAGUCCAGGACAGGCUGAGGAAUGCCCUUCCCCCAGCCCUCUCCCUGAGUGUCAGUCCCUGAGUUAGACACUGUCACAGGAGAGGGCUUGGAAGCCACCUUCUGACUCACCACACCCAUCCCAGCCAUGCCCCCUCACCCUGGCAAGCACCCAGGGGCUGUAUGUUGAUUUGUCUCUCCCCUAAUACAAGGCCCUGACCUCCACCAGCAGAGCCAGACUGUCUGCCUGCAAGCCUGGCUUUUUAUUCUGCUGCACUACAGAAAUUAUGCAAAUCACAGCUAUUAGUAUAACAGCUUUUGCAGAAUUCAGAAGAAAAAGGCAAAAAAAAAAAAAAAAACCACACAAUCACAAAAUCCCUAUGUUUGGUUAAAAGACCAUGAAUUUCCCCAUUGUCCUCACUCACUCUCUUGUCAAUAUGAGAUGUAUACAUCUGAAGCCUGCUUUUCAGUCUUAUGAACAUCUAUAAAAGAGACAUCAGUCAGCAGAAACCUCUGGUACUGCGACAUGAAAGAGAAUGAGGGAAAAACCCAACUCUAGCCAGGAUGGAGAAGAGAGGAAAGGCAAGAUGUGGGAGGCAGCCCCAGAAGGCCCAGGCGGGGUCUCUAGAGGAACCUAAGAAGACUCUGGUGUGGGACAAAGCUCCAAUGUGCUCUGAGCACUCUCGCUGUCCUUCCAGAGGGCCUCGUUCCCCUUCUCAUUCAUCUCACUCACCACAC